rnacentral:tRNA from 3 species
GGAGAAGUACUCAAGUGGCUGAAGAGGCACCCUUGCUAAGGGCGUAGGUCGGUAACACGGCGCGGGGGUUCGAAUCCCCCCUUCUCCG